rnacentral:tRNA from 1 species
AGGAGUGUAGCUCAGUUGGUAGAGUGCUUGCCCAAAAUGUAUGAAGCCCCGUGUUUGAUUCCCAGCUUUGAAU